rnacentral:rRNA from 1 species
CAGUAGCCGCGGUAAAACGUAGGUGGCAAGCGUUGUCCGGAAUUAUUGGGCGUAAAGGGCUCGCAGGCGGUUUCUUAAGUCUGAUGUGAAAGCCCCCGGCUCAACCGGGGAGGGUCAUUGGAAACUGGGAAACUUGAGUGCAGAAGAGGAGAGUGGAAUUCCACGUGUAGCGGUGAAAUGCGUAGGGAUGUGGAGGAACACCAGUGGCGAAGGCGACUCUCUGGUCUGUAACUGACGCUGAGGAGCGAAAGCGUGGGGAGCGAACAGGAUUAGAUACCCCGGUAGUCCCUGUCUCUUAUAA